rnacentral:rRNA from 1 species
GCAGCCGCGGUCAUACGUAGGACCCAAGCGUUAUCCGGAUUUACUGGGCGUAAAGCGCACGUAGGCGGCUUUGUAAGUUAGAGGUGAAAGCCCGGGGCUCAACCCCGGAACUGCCUUUAAGACUGCAUCGCUUGAAUCCAGGAGAGGUGAGUGGAAUUCCGAGUGUAGAGGUGAAAUUCGUAGAUAUUCGGAAGAACACCAGUGGCGAAGGCGGCUCACUGGCCUGGUAUUGACGCUGAGGUGCGAAAGCGUGGGGAGCAAA